rnacentral:rRNA from 1 species
CCUACGGGAGGCAGCAGUGAGGAAUAUUGGUCAAUGGACGCGAGUCUGAACCAGCCAAGUAGCGUGAAGGAUGACGGCCCUGCGUGUUGUAAACCUCUUUUGUAAAGGAAUAAAGUGAGGCACGUGUGCCCUUUUGUGUGUACUUUAUGAAUAAGGAUCGGCUAACUCCGUGCCAGCAGCCGCGGUAAUACGGAGGAUCCGAGCGUUAUCCGGAUUUAUUGGGUUUAAAGGGAGCGUAGGUGGGUGUUUAAGUCAGUGGUGAAAGUCUGCGGCUCAACCGUAAAAUUGCCAUUGAUACUGGCAGGCUUGAGUUCAGUUGAGGUAGGCGGAAUUCGUGGUGUAGCGGUGAAAUGCUUAGAUAUCACGAAGAACUCCGAUUGCGAAGGCAGCUUACUAAACUGACACUGACAUUGAUGCUCGAAAGUGUGGGUAUCAAACAGGAUUAGAUACCCUUGUAGUC